rnacentral:rRNA from 1 species
CCCGCUGAACUUAAGCAUAUCAAUAAGCGGAGGAAAAGAAACCAACAGGGAUUGCCCUAGUAACGGCGAGUGAAGCGGCAACAGCUCAAAUUUGAAAUCUGGCCUUUUGGUCCGAGUUGUAAUUUGUAGAGGAUGAUUUUGGUGCGGUACCUUCCGAGUUCCCUGGAACGGGACGCCUUAGAGGGUGAGAGCCCCGUACGGUUGGAUGCCUAGCCUCUGUAAAUCUCCUUCGACGAGUCGAGUAGUUUGGGAAUGCUGCUCUAAAUGGGAGGUAAAUUUCUUCUAAAGCUAAAUACUAGCCAGAGACCGAUAGCGCACAAGUAGAGUGAUCGAAAGAUGAAAAGCACUUUGAAAAGAGGGUUAAACAGCACGUGAAAUUGUUGAAAGGGAAGCGCUUAUGACCAGACUUUUUCUAGGCGGAUCAUCCGGUGUUCUCACCGGUGCACUUCGCCUAGUUUAGGCCAGCAUCGGUUUCUGUAGGGAGAUAAAAGCUUCAGGAAUGUGACUCCUCCGGGAGUGUUAUAGCCUGUUGUAUAAUAUCCUUACGGGGACCGAGGUACGCGCUCUGCAAGGAUGCUGGCAUAAUGGUCAUCAGCGACCCGUCUUGAAACACGG